GUUACAAGAGGUGAGACUCCACACAGAAAGUGCUGGUUGGUGCGAGAACCCGUCGUACUGCCUCUCUAAGACUCUGGAGUUCGCUCCUUUCCCCUUCAUCUUCUCUCAUGCCUGGGAGAAAAGACAGAGCAUGUGUGAAGAUGUGGGUGCCUGUGUUUCUCCCCUAAGACAAGUCCAGUGUGAGUUGAGAGUGAUACCAGUGACUCGUAGCUUGUGGUUUUUCCAUGUGGAGACUUUUCUUGCUUUUCUGAUUAUAGGAACUCUUCAUUUUUGACUCUCCUGGCAAGGAACUGUUUUCGGAAAUGCUGGAUAAACUGUGGGAGAGUCCCAAUGUCUUAUGUCUCGUCUAUGAUGUGACCAAUGAACAAUCCUUCAACAACUGCAGCAAGUGGCUGGAGAAGGCUCGGUCACAGGCUCCAGGCAUCUCUCUCCCAGGUGUUUUAGUUGGGAACAAGACAGACCUGGCCGGCAGACGAGCAGUGGACUCAGCUGAGGCCCGGGCAUGGGCGCUGGGCCAGGGCCUGGAAUGUUUUGAAACAUCCGUGAAAGAGAUGGAAAACUUCGAAGCCCCUUUCCACUGCCUGGCCAAGCAGUUCCACCAGCUGUACCAGGAGAAGGUGGAGGUUUUCCGGGCGCUGGCAUGAAAAGCUGGAGCAGAUCGUGCCGCACAACUGGAGGAGACAGAAUUACCUCUGCACUUUUAAUAUAUAAUGAUGGCUUUAAAUAAAAUUAGGAGAAAAUGUC
rnacentral:sRNA from 1 species